rnacentral:rRNA from 1 species
AAAUUGAAGAGUUUGAUCAUGGCUCAGAUUGAACGCUGGCGGCAGGCCUAACACAUGCAAGUCGAACGGUAGCACAGAGAGCUUGCUCUCGGGUGACGAGUGGCGGACGGGUGAGUAAUGUCUGGGAAACUGCCUGAUGGAGGGGGAUAACUACUGGAAACGGUGGCUAAUACCGCAUAACGUCGCAAGACCAAAGAGGGGGACCUUCGGGCCUCUUGCCAUCAGAUGUGCCCAGAUGGGAUUAGCUUGUUGGUGAGGUAACGGCUCACCAAGGCGACGAUCCCUAGCUGGUCUGAGAGGAUGACCAGCCACACUGGAACUGAGACACGGUCCAGACUCCUACGGGAGGCAGCAGUGGGGAAUAUUGCACAAUGGGCGCAAGCCUGAUGCAGCCAUGCCGCGUGUAUGAAGAAGGCCUUCGGGUUGUAAAGUACUUUCAGCGGGGAGGAAGGUGUUGUGGUUAAUAACCACAGCAAUUGACGUUACCCGCAGAAGAAGCACCGGCUAACUCCGUGC